AUGACCUGUUUGUGUGAAUUACUUACAACAAAUUUCACACUUGUAAGGCAGUUUUCCCAGUGUGCACUCUCAAAUGACGUUUUAAAUGAUAUGGUCGAGUAAACUGUUUAAAACAAAUUUCACACUUCUCAGGUUUUUCACCAGUGUGCCCUCUCAAAUGGAAUUUCAAACUAUUUGCUUGACUAAACUGCUUAAAACAAAUUUCGCACUUAUAAGGCGUUUCUCCAGUGUGGACUCUCAAAUGUAUUUUCAAUGUAACUUUUUGGUUAAACUGCUUAAAACAAAUUUCACACUUAUAAGGCGUUUUUCCAGUGUGCACUCUCAAAUGUAUUUUCAAUUGAAUUUUUUGGUUAAA